CAACAACUUAGGACUUAGGACACGACUCACGAGGACAAGAAAGAAAUGCUGCUCUUGUUGGUGUCAACGCGGCGGUUGUUUGAUCAAAUUGUUGCAGGAAAAUACUGCUUGUUAUUUUUGGAAAGUCAGUAAAAUUGCACUACUGCCAGGAUGACAGAGACACCAGAAUUCCAUAGAUUAAUGGUAAGAAUGGAGAAUGCUAUGGUGGAUAUGACCAAAACUGAUAUGUUAACUUUGUGUUGAUUGUUCUUAUUGGCUAUUGCAAGAGAUGUUUCACCUGAGAUAGAGCUACAUAUUUCUCAGAAAUAGAUCAGUGCUCAGUAUGCACUAUAUGAUACCAUCAUUGCAGAGAAGCAUCCACAGUUUGUUCAACUGUGUAGCUACAUGGUAUUAGUUCAACGUGGAAAUGGGAUGAAAAUAAGUGGACGAAGAGAUGGUUUUAUACUGCUUACUUGGCUGUUCUUAAAUGCUGCAAAUAACAGAAAGCAAAGACUGGGAGUGUUUCCAAUACAAUGGAAAAUACUUGGUCUUGGGAAAAUAUGAGCGGAACUGUGCAAGGCCUACACUGAUUCACUUAAAGUUUACGUCUUUCAAUUGUUCUUCAAUCCAAAAUGUCACUACAUCUACCCCAUGGCCAUACAACAAAAUAUGAACUUUUAUAUAUAUUCGCCGUGUGCUUUUCGUCCUUUUUUGCGAAUAAUAAACAGUUAUUAUACGAGUCAUGAAUUAUUAUUUUAUUUGUCCCCAAAAAUGGCGUCUUGUAAUGUCCGGCGUAUUCACUUCACUGCUUUUGUUUUACGUAAAAUAUUGUAUGUUUUAUAUAUGAAUUCAAUUAAAAA